CCAUGCAUGACAAGAGACAACGGGAAAGACGAGAGCUACAUGAGCUGAGAGUCGCUGAAUGGAAUGCUCGUCUCAAGCUUACAGAUGAUCUCAUUGGGGAAAUGAAGUGUGAGAAACAUCAGGACACUGAUAAUGACCUUCAACGAAUAGAGGAGCUCCUCAAUCAACCUAGGAAUGAGAAAGGUGCAAAGAGCUCUGACAGCCAGUAACAUCAGACUGGCUGAACAUUAUGACUAUGGUCUUUCUCGGAUGUUCUACUAAAUUCCUGGUACCUGCUCCCAGUAUAUGUGUCAGUCACCAUCAUUAUCAAUGUAAUACUUACCUUCAAAUGCAAAUGUUAUUUACUGCACUUAUGUGCAUAUCCCUAUUUAUUUUAAAACCUGCAGAAACUUGAUGAAGCUGAUGCAGUUGGGUAAAGUAUUUGGAUUAGACACAUUUACAAGUAACAAAUGUUUUGGGUGUUGUUAUUGUAAUUGAUGGGUUUAACCAAUGUAAAAUAUCAGUGCCAAAUAAACUCAGCAAAAAAGAAAAGUCUAUUUUUUUAUGUAUUUUAAAGAUAAUUUGUAAAAUCCAAAUAAGUUUACAAAACAUUUUCUGUACUUGUUCAAUGAACCUUAUGGAACCUUAUGGUUUAUACGCUAGUUCUGACUCUGGAAAAAAAAAAAAAAAA